UACGAAGGGGGCUAGCGUUGCUCGGAAUUAACUGGGCGUAAAGGGCGCGUAGGCGGAUCGUUAAGUCAGAAGGUGGAAAGCCCAGGGCUCAACCCUGGAAUUGCCUUUGAUACUGGCGAUCUUGAAUACGGGAGAGGUGUGUGGAACUCCGAGUGUAGAGGUGAAAUUCGUAGAUAUUCGCAAGAACACCAGUGGCGAAGGCGGCUCACUGGCCCGGUACUGACGCUGAGGUGCGAAAGCGUGGGGAGCAAACAGG
rnacentral:rRNA from 1 species